rnacentral:lncRNA from 1 species
CCGUCGUAAGCCAUGUAUGAGCAGGGUGUUGGCCGCUCGUCCUCUGUCCCGAGUUUAGGUUGCCCGUAUGAGAAAAGAGAGAAGAGGAUUAAUCUUCCUCUGCCAGGUAAACCUUGUCAUCCUUCCUAUCAGAGUUCUCUGAUAAUCUUAUUUUGAUUUCUUGAUUUAUAUUUUUUCUAAACACAUAAUGUGCAGAUCUGAGAAAAAAGAGAAAAGGAUGAAUCUUGAGGAAGAGCUUGGUGAAGAACAAGGUGAUCUCCUAACACAGUGACAUUCUCUGCCUCUCUCUCUCUCUCUGUCUAUCUUCAGGUCUUACAUAUGUUUUCUUCUUUAAACAAUGUUCAUUUAAUUUCUGGAUUGGUGCAGGUUCGAGGAUGUAAAUCUAUCUGAUAUGUUGUUGAUGGGGAUUAAGAUUAUUGUAUUGACAUAUCUGAAAGUAUUCUACUGACAUAUCUG